GACGUUAUCAGUUCAUCCAGCUGGAUUCUGUAAUUGGCGACAAAAUCGUCGAAUCCUAUAGGAGUGUUAUGGAAAACAGCCAGUUCCAGCUCUUUGCCAUUUGUGAUACGCCAGGAAAGAGGUUCAUGUCUUAUGGACUUCUGCUUUUAGGACCCACACAAACACAGGCACAUACGGACUGUAAAGCUUUGGAUACGCAUGGUCUGCAGGAUGACAGACCUAUUUUUUAAAGUCUUUACCGUUGGCUACAAUUUCCACGCUUGUGAGAUGAAGCCAUACGCCUGUGACUGUGGAACACGUGGGAAACAUUUGCCCACUAAGCACUAAUUCAGCCCAGCUGUGUGGACACACCACUCUGAGGAUGAAGCUUCAGCCACUGCUGAAUUGAUUCUCACCAGAGGGGAGAAAUUGAGAGCGAAAUGUCUCAAGAUAUAAAUCAACUUCACAAAGUAACAGCGGUUUACUAUGAACCCCAAAUGGAAAGGCACAUUCCAGUGACAAAUUCGUCACCGUCAAGGCAGCGUGGGCCAGCAGGUUCAGGAAAUCUCUCGGAAAGCCAUGAGUAUUAGUAUCCAGGCCUCGACCGGAUGCCCCAAAGCUCAGGGUUCAAGCUUCAUCCCGUUCUUCCCUCUCCCAGAGCUGAGGACAGGGAAGAGACAG